CGGGAGGUUGGCGUGGACGUACCACUCGCCAACCGGGUCAGGUCCGGAAGGAAGCAGCCCUAACGAGAUUUUGGCGCGGGUCACCGUCCAGCCUCCCACCU
rnacentral:SRP_RNA from 2 species